rnacentral:rRNA from 1 species
AGGAAGGUAGUGUAGUUAACACCUGCAUUAUUUGACGUUACCUACAGAAGAAGACACCGGCUAACUCCGUGCCAGCAGCCGACGGUAAUACGGGAGGGUGCGAGCGUUAAGUACGGAAUUACGUGGGACGUAAAGCGCAUGCAGGCGGCCUGUUAAGUACAGAUGUAGAAACGGCCCGGGGACCGUUUAACCGUACGGUAAGUUGCUAUUUAGUAAACGUGGCGAGGCUAGAGUCUUGUAGAGGGGGGUAGGAAUUUCAGGUGUAGCGGUGAAAUGCGUAGAGAUCUGAAGGAAUACCAGUGGCGAAGGCGGCCCCCUGGACAAAGACUGACGCUCAGAUGCGAAAGCGUGGGGAGCAAACAGGAUUAGAUACCCUGGUAG